GUAGGGUGCGAGCGUUAAUCGGAAUUACUGGGCGUAAAGCGUGCGCAGGCGGUUUUGUAAGCCAGAUGUGAAAGCCCCGGGCUUAACCUGGGAAUGGCAUUUGGGACUGCAAGGCUGGAGUGUGGCAGAGGAGACUGGAAUUCCUGGUGUAGCAGUGAAAUGCGUAGAUAUCAGGAGGAAUACCGAUGGCGAAGGCAGGUCUCUGGGCUAACACUGACGCUCAUGCACGAAAGCGUGGGGAGCAAACAGGAUUAGAUACCCUGGUAGUCCACGCCCUAAACGAUGUCGACUGGUUGUUGGGGGUUUGACACUCUCAGUAACGAAGCUAACGCGUGAAGUCGACCGCCUGGGGAGUACGGCCGCAAGGUUA
rnacentral:rRNA from 1 species